rnacentral:SRP_RNA from 1 species
GCCAGGUGUGGUGGCUCAUGCCUGUAAUCCCAGCACUUUGGGAGGCCGAGGCGGGAGGAUCACCUGAGGUCAGGAGCUCGAGACCAGCCUGACCAACAUGGUGAAACCCCGUCUCUA